UACGGAGGGUGCGAGCGUUGCUCGGAAUCACUGGGCGUAAAGCGCGUGUAGGCGGUCAGGCAAGUCAGAUGUGAAAGCCCCUGGCUUAACCAGGGAAGUGCAUUUGAAACUGCUUGGCUGGAGUACGGGAGAGGAGAGUGGAAUUCCCGGUGUAGAGGUGAAAUUCGUAGAUAUCGGGAGGAACACCGGUGGCGAAGGCGGCUCUCUGGACCGAUACUGACGCUGAGACGCGAAAGCGUGGGGAGCAAACAGG
rnacentral:rRNA from 1 species